rnacentral:rRNA from 1 species
AGAGUUUGAUCAUGGCUCAGAUUGAACGCUGGCGGCAUGCCUUACACAUGCAAGUCGAACGGUAACGGGUCCUUCGGGAUGCCGACGAGUGGCGAACGGGUGAGUAAUAUAUCGGAGCGUGCCCAGUAGUGGGGGAUAACUGCUCGAAAGAGCAGCUAAUACCGCAUACGACCUGAGGGUGAAAGGGGGGGAUCGCAAGACCUCUCGCUAUUGGAGCGGCCGAUAUCAGAUUAGCUAGUUGGUGGGGUAAAGGCCUACCAAGGCAACGAUCUGUAGUUGGUCUGAGAGGACGACCAGCCACACUGGGACUGAGACACGGCCCAGACUCCUACGGGAGGCAGCAGUGGGGAAUUUUGGACAAUGGGCGCAAGCCUGAUCCAGCAAUGCCGCGUGCAGGAAGAAGGCCUUCGGGUUGUAAACUGCUUUUGUCAGGGAAGAAAUCUUCUGGGCUAAUACCCCGGGAGGAUGACGGUACCUGAAGAAUAAGCACCGGCUAACUACGUGCCAGUAGCCGCGGUAAUACGUAGGGUGCAAGCGUUAAUCGGAAUUACUGGGCGUAAAGCGUGCGCAGGCGGUUGUGUAAGACAGGUGUGAAAUCCCCGGGCUUAACCUGGGAAUUGCAUUUGUGACUGCACGACUAGAGUGUGUCAGAGGGGGGUGGAAUUCCACGUGUAGCAGUGAAAUGCGUAGAUAUGUGGAGG